UGUCUAAGUAUAAGCAAUUAUACAGCGAAACUGCGAAUGGCUCAUUAUAUAAGUUAUCGUUUAUUUGAUAGUACCUUACUACUUGGAUAACCGUGGUAAUUCUAGAGCUAAUACAUGCUAAAAAUCCCGACUUACGAAGGGAUGUAUUUAUUAGAUUAAAAACCAAUGCCCUUCGGGGCUCACUGGUGAUUCAUAAUAACUUCUCGAAUCGCAUGGCCUUGCGCCGGCGAUGGUUCAUUCAAAUUUCUUCCCUAUCAACUUUCGAUGCUAGAGUAGUGUUCUAGCAUGGUUACAACGGGUAACGGAGGGUUAGGGCUCGACCCCGGAGAAGGAGCCUGAGAAACGGCUACUACAUCCAAGGAAGGCAGCAGGCGCGCAAAUUACCCAAUCCCGACACGGGGAGGUAGUGACGAUAAAUACUGAUACAGGGCUCUUUUGGGUCUUGUAAUUGGAAUGAGUACAAUUUAAAUCCCUUAACGAGGAACAAUUGGNNNNNNNNNNNNNNNNNNNNNNNNNNNNNNNNNNNNNNUCCAAUAGCGUAUAUUAAAGUUGUUGUGGUUAAAAAGCUCGUAGUAGAACCUUGGGCCUGGCUGGCCGGUCCGCCUCACCGCGUGCACUGGUCCGGCCGGGCCUUUCCCCCUGUGGAACCUCAUGCCCUUCACUGGGUGUGUGGGAAAACAGGACUUUUACUUUGAAAAAAUUAGAGUGCUCCAGGCAGGCCUAUGCUCGAAUACAUUAGCAUGGAAUAAUAGAAUAGGACGUGUGGUUCUAUUUUGUUGGUUUCUAGGACCGCCGUAAUGAUUAAUAGGGACAGUCGGGGGCAUCAGUAUUCAAUUGUCAGAGGUGAAAUUCUUGGAUUUAUUGAAGACUAACUACUGCGAAAGCAUUUGCCAAGGAUGUUUUCAUUUAUCAGGAACGAAAGUUAGGGGAUCGAAGACGAUCAGAUACCGUCGUAGUCUUAACCAUAAACUAUGCCGACUAGGGAUCGGACGAUGUUAUUUUUUGACUCGUUCGGCACCUUACGAGAAAUCA
rnacentral:rRNA from 1 species